rnacentral:rRNA from 1 species
AAGUCGUAACAAGGUUUCCGUAGGUGAACCUGCGGAAGGAUCAUUAUUGAUUCAUGGGAAAGGGGAUGUGCUGGCAAAAGAGCCUCUCUUUUUGCAUUGUGCACUCCUGCAUUCCCUCCAUCUGAAUUUUGUCCCUGUGCACCCUUUGUAGACGGGAAUUUGAACAACCCUUCAUUUUCCUGUCUAUGCUCUUUCGUUACAACCCAAAACUUAGUUGUUUUAAAUGUUUGGCUUGUAUAGCCAGCUUAAAAUAUAAUCACAACUUUCAACAAUGGAUCUCUCGGUUCUCGCAUCGAUGAAGAACGCAGCGAAUUGCGAUAUGUAAUGUGAAUUGCAGAAUUCAGUGAAUCAUCGAAUCUUUGAACGCAUCUUGCACCCCCUGGUAUUCCAGGGGGUAUGCCUGUUUGAGUGUCAUUAUUCAAUCUCAAUGCAAUGGAAGUGUCUGCUCGGUGUUUCCUUGCAUUGGACAGUGAAGGUUGCUGGGUACCACCAGCUUCUUUGGAAUGCAUUAGCAGUAAAUAAGCAGAGUCGGCUUCGGUUUGAUAUGAUCUAUGCUGUUGCCGUCGGAGCUUCAUGUUCUGCUGACUUGUCUUUGUAUGAGACUGUCCAUCCAGUGGAUACUUUAUGUAGCUUGGCCUCAAAUCAGGUAGGAUCACCCGCUGAACUUAA